rnacentral:rRNA from 1 species
UACGGAGGGUGCAAGCGUUAAUCGGAAUUACUGGGCGUAAAGCGUACGUAGGCGGUUAGAUUAGUCGGAUGUGAAAGCCCCGGGCUUAACCUGGGAAUUGCAUUCGAUACUGUCUGGCUAGAGUGUGGAAGAGGGAAGUGGAAUUCCAGGUGUAGCGGUGAAAUGCGUAGAUAUCUGGAGGAACAUCAGUGGCGAAGGCGACUUCCUGGUCCAACACUGACGCUGAGGUACGAAAGCGUGGGGAGCAAACAGG